UACGUAGGGGGCUAGCGUUGUCCGGAAUUAUUGGGCGUAAAGAGCGUGUAGGCGGUUCGAUAAGUCUCCUGUGAAAGUCGGGGGCUCAACCCUCGAAGGCCGGUGGAUACUGUCGAGCUAGAGUACGGAAGAGGGGAGUGGAAUUCCUGGUGUAGCGGUGAAAUGCGUAGAUAUCAGGAGGAACACCGGUGGUGUAGACGGCUUUCUGGACCGUAACUGACGCUGAGGCACGAAAGCGUGGGUAGCAAACAGG
rnacentral:rRNA from 1 species